GUUUUUCCCCCGCUGUUAUUUUGGAGCCACUGGGCACUUGGCUAACUGACUGGGCCACAUCGUGUCUAUCUAUCGCCACAUCAGGCAGAACCAGAACCAACACCAACACCAACACCAACACCAGAGCCAAAAGUAAAAGCAAAAGCGAAAAGCUAAACCAAAAUCGGCAGGCAGCACGCUUCCAGUGGGAAAACAAUUCUGGCUUGUUCCCGUGGCGCUGCUGCUACCGACGACGCGUCGCUCGCCCCUCAAUGAAAUCCACGUUGAUUUUUGUAUCGCAAUUGUGAUUUGAUUUACAAUACAACCCCACCACACAGA
rnacentral:lncRNA from 1 species